AUUGAACGCUGGCGGCAUGCCUUACACAUGCAAGUCGAACGGCAGCACGGGUGCUUGCACCUGGUGGCGAGUGGCGAACGGGUGAGUAAUAUAUCGGAACGUACCUUAUUGUGGGGGAUAACGCAGCGAAAGCUGUGCUAACACCGCAUAAUCCCUAAGGGGGAAAGCGGGGGACCGUAAGGCCUCGCGCAAUUAGAGCGGCCGAUACCUGAUUAGCUAGUUGGUGAGGUAAAGGCUCACCAAGGCAACGAUCAGUAGCUGGUCUGAGAGGACGAUCAGCCACACUGGGACUGAGACACGGCCCAGACUCCUACGGGAGGCAGAAGUGGGGAAUUUUGGACAAUGGGGGCAACCCUGAUCCAGCAAUGCCGCGUGAGUGAAGAAGGCCUUCGGGUUGUAAAGCUCUUUUGUCAGGGAAGAAACAGCAGCUCUAACACAGUUUGCGAAUGACGGUACCUGAAGAAUAAGCACCGGCUAACUACGUGCCAGCAGCCGCGGUAA
rnacentral:rRNA from 1 species